AGGUGAGUGGCGGACGGGUGAGUAACGCGUGAGGAUCUACCUUCAGGAGUGGGACAACCAUUGGAAACGAUGGCUAAUACCGCAUAUGGCGAGAGCUGAAAGAUUUAUCGCCUGAAGAAGAACUCGCGUCUGAUUAGCUAGUUGGUGGAGUAACGGUUCACCAAGGCGACGAUCAGUAGCUGGUCUGAGAGGAUGAUCAGCCACACUGGGACUGAGACACGGCCCAGACUCCUACGGGAGGCAGCAGUGGGGAAUUUUCCGCAAUGGGGGCAACCCUGACGGAGCAACGCCGCGUGGGGGAGGAAGGUCUGUGGAUUGUAAACCCCUUUUCUCAGGGAAGAAGAACUGACGGUACCUGAGGAAUCAGCAUCGGCUAACUCCGUGCCAGCAGCCGCGGUAAGACGGAGGAUGCAAGCGUUAUCCGGAAUUAUUGGGCGUAAAGCGUCCGUAGGCGGUUCAUCAAGUCUGCCGUUAAAGACUGCAGCUCAACUGUGGGUAAGCGGUGGAAACUGAGGAACUGGAGUACGGUAGGGGUAGAGGGAAUUCCCAGUGUAGCGGUGAAAUGCGUAGAUCUUGGGAAGAACACCAGUGGCGAAGGCGCUCUACUGGGCCGUAACUGACGCUGAGGGACGAAAGCUAGGGGAGCGAAAGGGAUUAGAUACCCCUGUAGUCCUAGCUGUAAACGAUGGAUACUAGGUGUUGGACGUAUCGACCCGUUCAGUACCGCAGCCAACGCGAUAAGUAUCCCGCCUGGGGAGUACGCACGCAAGUGUGAAACUCAAAGGAAUUGACGGGGGCCCGGACAAGCGGUGGAGUAUGUGGUUUAAUUCGAUGCCACGCGAAGAACCUUACCAGGGCUUGACAUCCCCCGAAUUCCUUUGUGAAAGCGAGGAGUGCCUUCGGGAGCGGGGACACAGGUGGUGCAUGCCUGUCGUCAGCUCUUGUCGUGAGAAGUUGGGUUAAGUCCCGGAAAGAAGCGCAACCCACGUCAUUAGUGGCCAUCAUUCAGUUGGGCACUCUGGGGAGACUGCCGGGGACAACUCGGAGGAAGGUGUGGAUGACGUCAAGCCAUC
rnacentral:rRNA from 1 species